CAGAGUUCAUUUAGAGAUAAGAGAAGCAGAUUAGAUUUUGGGGCGCUGGUUUCCUCGAUAUCUGGCUGCAUCGCUGGAAGGCUGUCGAUCUGUUUUCCCAAAAGAUCCCGCGCUACUUUUAGUCUUCUGGUACUCCCCACUCGUCGACUUGAGUGAAGUUGCAUUUUGCCUCCCUUAGCACAUUUCCUACAACGAGGCGUGUUCUAGGUUUGCCAUAGUUUCUCUUGGUAAUACUGGACCUUUUCUCACCAGCAAGGCUUUGCACUGAGGGUAAUAUCAGAGAAAUCAGGAUCAUAGUUUGGCUACACAACAUUUUGAAUCACCUACUUCCAUUUUAAAUCAUCAACUGAAGGUAAGCAUCUUUUUUGAUGAUACAU